ensembl:lncRNA SOX2-OT SOX2 overlapping transcript
AAAAAAAAGAAAAGAAAAAAAAGAGAACCACAGCUUUGGACAAAAGUCUAUAGCCAGUGCAUUUGAAAACUCCCCUUGCACCAGGGCUGACUGUAGCUGGGGGAAGACAUUUUACUCAUUUGCUCUUUCCUUUCAUACAGUCAGCUGGUCCCUCUUCUCAGGUGUAGAUCACCUAUUAUAAUUUUACCUAAUUUUGAUACUCUGAUAAGGAAAGUCCCAGGACUUAUCAGCUGGGAUAGGCCUCACUUACAAGACAGCUCUGUUCAGUAUUUGGAAGAAAGAAAGCCUGACAGGUUUCUUCGGAAAAGUGGCCAUCCAUGGAAUGAAUGAAAUGUUCUCUUUCUAUUCCAGACAAGUUUAAUGUCUGACACCCUGCACAAAAUUGCAAAAGCAGCAGUGCCCAAAAGAAAAACAAUCAAAAGAAAGCACAGGGUUUUCAUCUCCAAGAAUGCUAUCUUUAGGACAAUCUGCAUCAUGAAUUUAGUUGUGAUGUGUGUUGUGAAUCUUCUAAAGGAUCCUUUAUUUAUCUACACCUUAAUGUAGCUUUAAAUAUCUGCUUUAUUUCUAUGUAUAAUCUUAACAAAAGUAGUUACAUUACCAUGCCUGGUACUGAUUUUUACAUCUGACUUUUUGCUGUUACAUUUCAAGAAGGUUAAUAUUGCUUUUGUAACCCUGUCAUGAGUAAUGCAUUUUCCCAGUAAACAUGUCAUAAUGUUAAAGGCUGUUCAAGAAGCAGUGUUUCUGUUGAAACAGUUUUGUAUUUAUUUCUCUAUUGUUUAUUAUCCAUAAUAUAGUGUAAGGCUUUGAAAAGAACACGCAUAUUUAUGUAAUUAACACUUUUUGUUAUUAGGAAAGCCUUCCCAUUAAAAACUAAGAGAGUCUAAGAAAACUAUAUAAAUGGGCAACUUUUCAGGAAAAAUAUUUGCAUUCGAUUUUAAUUUGCCAUCAAGCUUAUAUGUUAAAAUGUAUACAUAAAGUGACUGAGGGAAGGGUACUUUCUGGUGUUUUUUUUCUUAUUUUUUAAUCUAAAAUAUAUGUUGAAAUUCAAAAGGUGUUCACCACAUGCAGUGUGGCAGCGUUCAAUAUUCUUUAACAGCUGUAUACUGUGUGGGUCUGUAUGAAGUUACAGGGGCUCACAAGCUUUAUAACGGACACAAACAUUCUUUUCUAUUUCAGUCUUAACUCCUAGAAGCAGGAGUAAGACUUGGAAAGAACCAAGCAGCCUCCUGCCCCACUGAGACCAGAGUACCUCUGCUAUUAUCUGCUGUGUAUAUUAGAGUUCCAUUAAGAUUUACUCAUGAAAAUCCCAUGCUAGAAAGAAAAAGUGAAACAUUACUGACUGAGGCUAUCUUAUAGAAAAGGAAAGCAGGGUUUACUCAAGGUUGUACACUGAGUGAGUGACAGUGUCAAUUUUAUCACCCAGUUUCUUGUCUCCUGGUCCCAGGCUUACUCUCCUAACCAGACACAGUCAUGGCUCUGUAUGUCCAGGCCUCCUAAACUAUAUUGCUAAAAGCUCACACCAAGAGAUUCACAGCCAUAUGUUUAAAAUCAGGAUGCUUCCUGAAGAUAUAGUAUCUAGGUGGUAAAUGGAAUUUUUUAACAUUAUAGACCAAAAUCAAGCCCUUUAUUUGGCAAUAUUAUUCAUUCUGGCUGCAUUGUUGUAGCUGUUAGGUAAAAGAUUGAUUCCUCUUACUUCUUAGUAAAGUAAUAUUUUGGAGGUUUCUUAAUGGUAUUUCUAAUUGUGGUAAAAAAAUAAAAUUUACUACCCUCACCAUUUUUAACGGUAUAGUUCAGUAAUGUUAACUUAAGUGGUAUUUUUUACAGUAGAAAAAUAAUUAGUACUUAAAUCCAAAAGAAAGAAAUUUUUUUUAAAAAACUGAAUUAAGAUGCUAAUUUUUCAAAACAUGUUUUAUGGAAUACCAUCCCUAUAAGCUAUGCCAGCUAAAAAAAAAAUAACACGGUCAAAU